rnacentral:rRNA from 1 species
GACGAACCGUGCGAACGUUAUUCGGAUUCACUGGGCUUAAAGGGCGCGUAGGCGGGCUAGCCAGUCCGGGGUGAAAUCUUUCGGCUUAACCGGAAAAGUGCCUUGGAUACUGCUGGCCUUGAGGGAGGUAGGGGCAUGUGGAACUUCCGGUGGAGCGGUGAAAUGCGUUGAUAUCAGGAGGAACACCGGUGGCGAAGGCGGGACUCUGGGCCGAUACUGACGCUGAGGAGCGAAAGCGUGGGGAGCAAACAGG